rnacentral:rRNA from 1 species
UACGUAGGGGGCAAGCGUUGUCCGGAUUUAUUGGGCGUAAAGAGCGUGUAGGCGGCCAAGCAGGUCAGCUGUGAAAACUCGAGGCUCAACCUCGAGACGUCGGUUGAAACCAUCUGGCUAGAGUCCGGAAGAGGAGUGUGGAAUUCCCGGUGUAGCGGUGAAAUGCGCAGAUAUCGGGAAGAACACCCGUGGCGAAGGCGGCACUCUGGGACGGUACUGACGCUGAGACGCGAAAGCGUGGGGAGCGAACAGG